UCUUAUUUGGAUAUUUAGCUUAGCGGAUAUCACGGGGAGGUACUUUCUCCUGUCUUUGUUUUGCUUCCGGGGUGCCCGUCGUUACUCGGUGGCGUGUGGUGGCAAGUUGGCUUGUGUAGCCACUUCUCCGACGAGUGUGUUUUAAUUAAGUCAGCUUGAGUGGUCCAUAUUCACUGGCAAGGCUGUUGUAGCGAGCUCUGACGCUGGGUGCUCGGUGGGAAUCAGCUGGAGCCGUAGCCAAGCCUCUCAUAAGCUCAAUUUAUGACCUGCGGUCCCAGAGAGGGGAUUCAUUGCCACUUGUCGUGUGGGAAGUGGAUUACAGCCAAGUGCCUCCACGCCUUGGAAAGGCUGCUGUUCUGUUGUGCUGUGGAUUUGUGGAUGACGUUUUCAUACGGUCGGGAUUGAACGGAGUGGUGUACUGCCCUCUCUAUAGCUCUACCUGCAUGCCUACGUCUGGUUGUUGUUUUCUUUGAUUUGGCGGCUAUACGGUGUGUUGUCCCGUCCUUUUGCUUGAGUUGCAUGUUUAUUCUGUGUUGUUUUCUUUGAUUUGGCGCCUAUCGCCGGCUAUACCUGGUGUGUUGUCUUGUCUUUUGUUUAACCUGCAUGUUUAUUUUGUUUGUUGUUUUCUUUGAUUUGGUGCAUGCGGUUAUACAGUGCUGUACUGUUUCUCCCUAUGCUUGACUCGCAUGCUUUUCUAACUGUUGGCCUAUUGGUAUCUUUGAGGUGUGUGUGUGUGUGUGUGUGUGUUUGUGUAUGCGUACUGUAACUUAAAUUACUGUGACCAGGGCGGCUUCACUGUCAGGAUCAACCUCUGGGCCCUGGUGGACAGCCUGACUGCCUCCCCUCCCCCUGCCUGAGAUAAGUAGCCUAGUUUGAUAAAUGGGCUAUUGGUGAAUGAAUGAUUGCCAUAUAAUUACUGUCAAGCCUUUUACCAACUCUUGUGUCUCUGUUCCUCCUCUCUCUCUCUCUCUCAGAGAGGGGGUCACAGGUUAAGCUACGGCGUAACAGUGUGGUUGCCAUCAUUAACCAUCCAGUAGAUCUGACCCAGGCGUCUCCUGUAUUUACACCUGAUGCAUUGUUUUUAUGGUUGAAUCUGUGUUGUAUGUAUCAAUAAAUCAUGUUAACUUAA